rnacentral:lncRNA from 1 species
AAUUCCAAAGGCUAAGGAAAGCAUUGCGCAUGCGGGAAACCCACGCUGAGGGAAGAAUCAUGGGAAAGAGUAGAGACGGGGUUCCACCGUGUUAGCCAGGAUGGUCUCGAUUUCCUGACCUCGUCAUCCUCCCGCCUUGGCCUCCCAAAGUGCUGGGAUUACAGGCUUGAGCCACCGCGCCCCGCUCUUUCGUGUUCCAAAGGCUUUUUAAAUAAACUUCCACUCCUGUCCUGGAUUCUGCUUUAUGGCCCUCAGUCGAAUUCUUUCUUCUGAGGAGGCAAGGACUGAAGUUGCUUCUGACCAGUACAGGUACGCCGCAGGAGAAAACGAAUACAGCAGGGAUGACUUCCACCAGCUCCACUUUGCAGCUCUGAGGUGUAUUAAAAAUGACCUGGAAGAAGUCAUGCCACGGGCCAGACCUUAACAUUCCUUUCGGCUUACCCCAGGAUUUCAGACAAAGCUUCACUUUCCUAACCAGUCACAAAUCAGAGAAUUUUUGAUUCCACCUAUGACCUGUGAGCUCCUGCUUCAAGAUAUUCCACCUUUUUUAGGCCAAACCAAUGUAUAACCUCCAAGUGUCGAUUUACACUUUCGACUGUAACUUCUGCUUUCCUGAGAUUUACCCCUGCCUUUAAAAACCCUUGCUUGUAAUCCCUCAGGGAGGCCGUGUAUUUAUUAAUCAUGAGCUGCCCAAUUCUCCUUGCUUGGUGCCCUGCAAAUAAACACCCUCUUUUCUCCCACUGCAAAACCUCAGUGUGGAUGUUUGGCUUUACUUCACCCCCAGGAAAGCAGACCCAGGUUUGACUCAGCAACAACAUCUGUUUCUAUUUUUCUCUGUAUAAAUAUUAAAAACCAUAAGUACAUGCUAUCUCCAAUUCCAAUAUAAACCCAUAGGGCUCAUUCUGGCCUUCCCAUUUUCUUAUGUGUAAUUCAUUUCUCUGAAAAUGAGAAUUCGAGUACUCAGAUAUUUACUUACCUACUCAAUCCUAGAAUAGAAAUAAAAUAAUUCAACAUAA